CUCGACCCAAACAGGCCCUAAGCAAUCCAGGAACCUCCGGCCUGCGAAAGAGAAGAAGCUCGUCGCGCCGUCAGCCUGUCACACCUCCUCAGCCACAGCGUCCUAGGUCUAAUCUCUUCUCCUCCUCAGUCCUCAUCUAGCUCGCGGCUCGUGAAGCUCGUUGCUCAUUCAAGGAGCUUUACGCUUCUUCCACUGCUGCACGUGGUUGUCUUCGUAGUUCCUCUACUCUGCUGAAAGAUUGGAAUUCCUAGGACCUUAAUUUUUUUCCGAUGUUUGGGAAUAGACAGAGUGCUUGGUUUCUGGCUUUCCGAAAUUUAUGAUUGGGAAUAGUUUUUCUCUGAAAUUUUUAGUUGGAUAGCUUCAAGGGAGAACGACUGAUCUGGAAUAUUCAUUGUGAUGUAUUAAGCACUGAGGAGGGCAAUGAAGGAAAAGGUCAGCCCGACGGAAAAAAGAGGCAGACGGGGGAGUGAAACGGCGGACUAAGAAAAAGAGGAAGGGAAAGAACGAAGGGUCUCUGGAAGAGGAAUGCAGCACCAGAGGCGUCUUCUUCUUCUUCCAAGUUCGACGGCUUCUUCUUCUUUCAUCAUCGACGGCGUCUUGUUCUUUCUCUUCAUCGCGGGAAAAACAGAGAACAAAGCUAAACUGCACCCGACGAUACAAGCAUCGUCCGCCCUGCUUUAGAGCUUAAAAUCUGGAGACCCAUUGCUUCAUUCAGAGCAUCAGCCAUCUGGUUAUCCUCACAGUGAAUGACCUGUAACUCUACUGUCCAAGACUGUUCGAGCAUGUUCUGAAGUUCCUGGAUCACAACCCAGUUGUCGUGCAAGCUGCUGUCACCACCGGAGAUGAGAUGUAUGGCUUCCGAAGAGUCACACCGAAGAACUAUAUCCCUUUCACCAAUGUCCCAAGCCCUUUGGUCAAAGGGCUUGGGACAUUGGACAAAGAGUAGCUAUAAAGAUGUUAUGAAAUUUUAGAAUUUAGAGUUGCCAGAAUAAAAAUUCGAAUGCUUGGUAUAAUGUUUAUAAUUCAAACACUCAAUAAUAGUAUGUUAUCUGAGUAUAGUAAUUUUGAAAA